GCUUGUGGAUUUACUGGUUUACUGAACUAAAGUUUUUUUUUUGCAUACACUUAUGUACUGAUCUCCAUUGCAAGAGUUGCCUGAUGUGUUCACCUCUAAAAUUGUUCUGCCUACCAAUGGAAGAUUGUGUGUGCCGGAAACUUGCUCCCUGCAAUUUGUGGGGCGAAAUAAAAUUUUGGCUGUACAUGCAUCCAAAGGUCUAUCCUAAGAUUUCUGUUGUACACUUGUAAUCGCCGCCACGCCUGUUGCCAGCGCCCAGCAAGGUACCUUCCCAAAUUCCGAUCUGGUGGCAAUAUUCAGGUGAGAUUGGAAGGGGAAGAAGAGGCCCGCAACGGUGCUUGCAUCUCCACUGCCGGCCAGCAGUGGGGAUAGAAGUGCAGAUGGCAGACGAGCACAUGCAGGUCAGCACCGGCCGGUUGAGGCAAGGCACACAACGGCAGAUUUUCUCCAACAAGAGAAGCACGACGGAUGUACCGUGGGAGGGGACUCUGUGAGGGUGUUGCUUCUGUAGAGGCUGCACUUAACUCUCCUUCAGAUGUACAAGCAAACAUGAGGUGAGAAAUAAAAUGAGCCGCUCUCUGUGGAUUGGAUGGACUUCGCCCUAAACUACAUUAGCAUUGUCGUUGGUUGCCUCUGCACCAGCUUUUCCAAAAUACAAUGGUGUCGUUUUGUCCAAUGGCGGAAUAUCGUUCUAGGCCUGGAGCAUUUGCUCCCGCUGCUCAACCAGUUCAACGAGCGAUUGGGUAUCCAACAGUCAAUAGGUAUAUAAUUUUUCUAGAAGGUUUCUAGAGGCUUGGUCCUAUUUCAAUGUCCAGAAGGUUCUCCUCAAUCGGUUUUGGCAGUUCCACAAAUGGAUGCUACGGGUCUAAACAGGCCUCGUGCCCUCGAAAUGUUCAGUU